rnacentral:lncRNA from 1 species
UCACUUUCAUUUUUCCUAUUCCUUCACAAAUUGUCUUCAUUGUUCCCUAUACUGCGAUUUUUGCUGCUAGAGUUUGGGUUCUGUCCUUCCAUUUCUCCAUCACCUGCUUUGCUGGAAGGUUUCUUAAACCAUCAUUUAACCAUAUCUUUUCGUCAUUCUUCUUUCCUUUUUCCUUUCUUUUCUCUUAUCUCGGAAGAACCGUUCAUUCAAUUUGACUCAAGUUUAGCCAGCAUUGUCUCUCGAUGUAUGCAAAUCUGCAAGAGGCGCAGUUUCAUAUUGUUGUAAGGAUUUUUUUGUGCUCAAUUCAUCCUUCAUCAUCGUUAGUCAUUUACUACUGACUCUCAAAGAAAGUACCCAGAUUUGCUUAUGGCUAUUCCAGAAAUUCAUGUGCCUUUUUUUCUUCUGUUAAUUCAAUCUGCACAUGCAUAUGAAGAAGAUGGGCAAGAGACAAAGUAAGUCUCCAUCUUCAACAACUAUUUUCGUUUGGCCUUGAAUUUCUGGACUCAUUUCAAAUUUUUUGUUCCCGUUAGUGUGUGGAAUGCUGAAUUUUUCUUAGUGUUUCUAUGUUCUUUCUUCGUUUUUAUCUGUUUUUUUGGAAUAUUGCUUUUACAAUCUUCAUCUACCUUUGAAUUUCUCUUAGCAUUGUUUUCUUUAAUUUUUUUAAUAUCGUGUAUAAUUUUUAAUAUGUAAUUUAUACUUAUCUGGUCUUCUCUUCCUUUCACGUGUUCUUAGUGAUUUUUGACAUGCAUGUGGUUAGUUCAAACUCUUCUAUGUACACAGAAUUUACCAUCAGGAGCAAAAAUAGUACAACUAAAAGGGAAGAACUUUGAUGCAACAAAGAUAUUUGACAAUAUGCCAAAAAGCACUGAAUAAUAUUUUCUUAUUCCGUUCCUUUUUCCAUAAGGUAUUCUAUAACUUAAAGACCUAAAAUCAAUAACCCAAGCAUACAUUACUUCGUUCCUCUAGACAGAAUUAUUCACAAUGUACUAUGUGUUGUGAAUAAUUUAUUUGUUUACCCGAAAAAUCAGAUAACGUUAAAUUUGUGUAUGGUUCUAAGGAUAUGUGAUACAAUUUGAUACAAAUCGUAUAGAGAAAUAGAAAUAUGUGUAUUCUUGACUAUGAGAAUGGGAAUAGUGAGCGAAAGAAUCAAUAAGGUAAAAUAAAACAAGCAUGAGGAGAUAUCUUCCNNNNNNNNNNNNNNNNNNNNNNNNNNNNNNNNNNNNNNNNNNNNNNNNNNNNNNNNNNNNNNNNNNNNNNNNNNNNNNNNNNNNNNNNNNNNNNNNNNNNNNNNNNNNNNNNNNNNNNNNNNNNNNNNNNNNNNNNNNNNNNNNNNNNNNNNNNNNNNNNNNNNNNNNNNNNNNNNNNNNNNNNNNNNCCUCGAUUCCCGCCAAGAUUCUCUCUCUUAGUGCGGUUGUAACGGCUCUUAUCCGUGAGCUCGAUACUGGCUCGAACUCGUUAUUGGGUCGAGCCUUCGAUUUUGGCUUGAGUUCGACCUCCGGGGUGGGCGUAGCGCAUUUCUGACCUCGAAGCAAUGUCUUGCGGAUCGAUUUGGUCACGGGCUCGAUAAAAGUAUCGAGCCGAUUCCUCGAUCAGCCUCUGGACUCGAGGCACAUUUGUACUGCCUUCGGAACUCAUCCCACAAUCCCACUCCGGUUACUUACCAUUUGAACUCGAUCGAACGUAGGAAAGCCGAAAUCUAUUUCGACCGUAUACAUAUAGUCAUCUUAUUUCUCAGGAAGGAUGUGGUGAGAAUCGAUAUGAUCUUCUACGGUUCAAUUGGGUUAUAAGCUGACGUUUUCACAAGGCUCGAUCAUGACGUAUGUGAUAGCUGUCCCAUCGAUUUAGUUUUUCAAGGUAUUUAAUGCAUGUCAGACGGUGGUCGGCCACCUCUGGUAUUGAACCGUCACGAUGCAAGCCUUUAAAUAACCCCUCCAUCUAACGUUUACCACUUUUACGUCUUUCACUCUUCCAAAUUUUCUUCCCUAUUCUCUCUAUUUCGCUGCUUGCAGAGCCAUCUACAUCAACUUUUCAUCUUCCUUUGCCUUUCUUUCUCUCAUAUCAAUGGCCAAAACUUCGAAAAUUGUACCUCAGAAGGAGAAAGCUUCUUCUUCACGGCCGUCCGGCGACAAGGCGCCGGUGGAGCCGCCUACCUAUGAGUAUGUUCCCGGCCCGUGUACUUUGAAGAUCGAUUUUAAGGUUGAGAAUCCUUCAUCUGUUCAGGGUCGAUGUGAGCAUGUGUCGAUGUACAUAUGCUUGAUAACGGAGGGUCAUCUCGAGGCUGUGAGGAAAGACUGCAACUGGGGUUCCGAGGUUGUGUUGCAAAUUCCCUCCCCCGAAGAGAGCGUCAUCACCCAUGUGGAGGGGUUUUUAAGUGUUUACACUUACCCCUUUACGUUGGGUCCCGUCGACCCGGUGAUCAUCGACUUUUGCAAAAGAUAUCAGGUCACCCUUGGUCAAAUUCAUCCCUCUCUAUGGCGUAUAGUAACCUUACUUCGCUUCUUCUCCAACAAGGCCGGGGGGCUGGAAUUUUCCCUGAAUCACCUCAUACGACUGUAUCGGCCUCAAAUCUUCCGAAGACUAAUCGGGCUUCAUCGUCGAGCAUCGAAGGCUUUGAUGUCGAGCAUCGACGAAGACAAAGAUCGGGGUUGGAUGAGCAGUUAUAUCCGGGUGAGGACCCGUGACCUCAUUCCGGAAGAGAAGAUGUCGUUCCCCGAGGAAUGGAAUUUCGACCGUAAGUGGUUUUCAUAAGACGUUGCAUUUCAUAUCUUUUUUCGAUUUUAUCUGAUGUCUUUCUCCGAUAUACAGCUGCCCCUUGGAUGCCACAAGCGGUACCCGACCUCGAGGAUUGGGUUCGGAAGUUAGCCUCGACUUCUUCUUAUGUCGAACGUGCUUGUUGUGAUUUGGCAAAAGGUAGAUGGGAGGCCAAGAAUCAUGGUAAGGGUUACUUCUCGUGUUCUUCGAAAUAUUUUUUAUGCUCUAUUCGUCACUGAUUUCCUUUCAUGCAGGUGUAACCAAGGAUGCCGUUUUGAGGCCUUUGAGUGGUGAAGAAGAAACCAAGUCCUCGGUCCUGGAACCGGGGAAAGAUAAGAAGCGAAAAGCUGUCUCUCGGUUAGAGGACCCCAAGCCCAAAACUCGAAGGGUGAGGAGGAAGGCAAUCGCUCUUUCAAUGGACUCGGUCCAACGAAGAAGAUGAUGCCUCGGCUUUGGUGAUCCGAUCUGCGAAAGCUAUCGAGAUCGCCAGAGCUUCUGAGCCGAUGGCGGCUGUACGGCUGGUUCCGGUACCCCGAGUCUCGAUCAGAGCAUCCUGAGCGAUUCGCUUGGGACCAUGACAGUGGGUCAUUUGCCUUCUCUUCCAACCUUUUCUGAGGAGGCGUUAAAGGAGGCUCGAGAGUUGAAGACUCCCGAUAUGGGCGGAGGCUCUAGUAUAGGGGACCCUUUUCGGGAUUGCUUUACUGGAGUCGAUGAUGCCUCCGACAUUGGUGAUGUUUCUCUUCUUCUAGAAGAGGCCCAACGUUUUAUUUCUCGGGUAAUGAUUUUACUGUACUUGGUUUCUUCGUUCUUUUCCAAACUUGACUUGUGUUCUUUCCCUACUGUGCAGGCCAUUAGUAAGUUUCGAGUCGACCUCAGCCAGUGCGAGGUCGAGCUUCAGAAGGUCUCGGGGGAGAGAGAUGCCCUGCGGCUUCUUUGCAGCCAAAAGGACGAGGCUAUAAAGGACCUCUAAGCAGAUUUAGCUAAGGCUCGUGAAGAAGAGGCCGAACUAGAUAAGCAGGUAAGCCUCGUUCUGUUAGAGUAUGGGUUUGACUCAACUGUGGAAGUUAACCCUUCGUUAUCUCGGCUGCAGCAAAAGGUUGAAAAGAUUGGGUUACUUCGGGAGGAAGUCGAUCAAAUCAAGUCCAUUGAAGCUAAGGCGGAGGUUGAGUCUUCGAAAGUCAUGGCGGACAAGUCCAUUGCCGUGUAUCGGGCUGAUGCCGAGGCUGCUCAGAUGGAGGCACGAGAGGCGACGGAUACUGCUGAUACUCGAGCAUAUUGGGUUGCCGAACUUGCUAAGUGUCGGUCUCAGAGGGAGACCCUCGAGGAGAUACACGCUCGAGGUUUCGACCUUGCUGAAGAGAUAAAAAAGGCUAAAGAGCUCGAAGCUGAAGCUGAAGCCUUGGCUUCUGAUGGCGAUGAUGGUAGCAAGAGAGGAUCCGAGAAUGGGGGGAGCCCGAUAGAGAAGAAACCGCUCCUGAGGAUGACCAGGAAGCUUAGUCCUUAGUUCUUACGUUUGUAAUCAUGUAGACGAUUGUGUACAUAGACAACUUUGCCGUCUUGCUUCUGUUUUGUGAAGACUUUAUACAUGCCUUAUAAAUGUUUUCACAAAGAUUUAAUCAACUUAAUCAAAUUCUGGAUUUCGUAGCCUCUAUAAUCGAGCGAGUGCUUAUUCAUAUUUGAAGUGAUGUAGCCCCUAGGCUUAUAAGUCGAGUCAAUGAUUCGAACUUAAAAGUAGCCCGUAGGCUUAAUAGUCGAGUGAAUGAUUCGAACUCGAAGUAAUAUAGCCCGUAGGCGUAAUGGUCAAGUGGGUGCUUGCUCGGACUCGAAAUAAAGUAGCCCGUGGGCUUUUAGUAGUCGAGUGCGUGAUUCGACUCGGGAUUAAGUGGCCCGUAGGCGUAAUGGUCGAGUGAGUGCUUGCUCGGACUCGAAAUAAAAGUAGCCUGUAGGCUUAAUAAUCGAGUGAAUGAUUCGAACUCGAAGUAAUGUAGCCCGUAGGCAUAAUGGUCGACUGAGUGCUUCCUCGGACUCGAAAUAAAGUAGCCCGUGGGCUUAGUAGUCGAGGAAUUUUUCUUGGAUAUAAGAUGUCGGUAAAGAGGAGAACUUUCUUUGCAAGUCACUAUACUUGUGUUCGUGUUUCGCGCCUGGGUUCGAGCCAACUACAUGAGCAUGGUUCGUUUUAACCAUUUGGCUCUUACAACUUUUCCUAUUGGAAGCCCGUUGUUUGAGAAAUAACUUUCUUGCUUCAAAACUUGAUAUAUUUGAAGGCUAAUGCCCAGUAUUCGAGGUCGAUUGUAAAGAGGCCUCGGACGCUGUUGUAAGUGCAGCACGAUCUUUGGUUGCCUCGUUAAAAAGCUUGCCGAAAAACCCAUUUGGGAUAAAACCGGUCUAAGGGAAAAAGAGUGCAACGCGUGCUUUCAGAUCUAUGGUAAAGGAUCCAUUUUAGCUCCUGCUCGGACUUCUGCAGGGGUCAGUUUUGAAAUGUAAACGAAUAUGAAAGGGGCGUACCUUAGCAGUCGUAUCAUUUUAGAUGUGACACAUUCCAAUUGCUUGAUAGCUGUUUGCCGUUUAUAAUGUCGAGCCUCUAUGAUCCCUUUUCGACGUUCUCGAGAACCUGGUAUAGUCCUUUCCAAUUUGGUCCUAGUUUUCCUUCGUUCGGAUUUCGGGUAUUGAUGGUGACUUUCCUUAGUACUAAGUCCCUGGGCUUGAAAUGGCGGAGCUUGGUUCUUCGAUUAUAAUAUCUUUCGAUUCACUGCUUUUGGGCGGCCAAUUGGACGAGAGCAGCUUCUCUUCUUUGGUCUGAUAAUUCGAGGGUAGUGUUCAUAGCCUCGUUAUUUGAUUCUUCCGUCGUGUAUCAAAAUCUGGUACUGGGUUCGCCGACUUCGACUGGUAUCAAUGCUUCAGACCCAUAUACUAAGGAGAAUGGGGUCGCCCCCGUACUGGAUUUCGACGUCGUUCGAUAUGCCCAAAGGACUUCGGGUAGGAUUUUUCUCCACUUUCCUGUAGCGUCGUUCAUCCUCUUCUUUACAUUCUGAAUGAUGGUUUUGUUCGUUGAAUCGACCUGUCUGUUCCCACUGGGGUGAUAUGGUGUUGAUAAUAUCCUUCUUAUUCUGUGGUCUUCAAAGAAUUUCGUCACUUUGCUGCCCACAAAUUGUUUCCCAUUGUCACAUACUAUUUCGGCGGGUAUCCCCGAAAUCGGCAUAUGAUAUGAUCCCCAAAAUAAAAGUCUAAUAANNNNNNNNNNNNNNNNNNNNNNNNNNNNNNNNNNNNNNNNNNNNNNNNNNNNNNNNNNNNNNNNNNNNNNNNNNNNNNNNNNNNNNNNNNNNNNNNNNNNNNNNNNNNNNNNNNNNNNNNNNNNNNNNNNNNNNNNNNNNNNNNNNNNNNNNNNNNNNNNNNNNNNNNNNNNNNNNNNNNNNNNNNNNNNNNNNNNNNNNNNNNNNNNNNNNNNNNNNNNNNNNNNNNNNNNNNNNNNNNNNNNNNNNNNNNNNNNNNNNNNNNNNNNNNNNNNNNNNNNNNNNNNNNNNNNNNNNNNNNNNNNNNNNNNNNNNNNNNNNNNNNNNNNNNNNNNNNNNNNNNNNNNNNNNNNNNNNNNNNNNNNNNNNNNNNNNNNNNNNNNNNNNNNNNNNNNNNNNNNNNNNNNNNNNNNNNNNNNNNNNNAUCGGCACCGGAGUGAUUCCCACAAGUACCCUCGCGCACCUCGCGCAAGAUGUAGUCGGUGUCUCCCGGACCUAAGCAUACUGCCAAUGGUCCAUCGAAUGUCCUUCGGUAUAAUGUUCCAUCUGCAGCCAAUGUGAAUCGAGCAGCUUUGGUUCGUAGGGCCCUCGAAAUUUUAGGAUCUGACAGCAGCUUUUCGUUCUCCAAGUAUUCAAUGUACUUAUUCCUCCAAUCCCAAGUUAAGCUUGUAGAAUUUAUCUCAGCAUGACCUUCUUCGAUCACGGAUCUCGAGAGUUGAACGACAGUCCCCGAGCUCAAGUCACCUUCCUCGACCUAUGAUCCCAAAUUCGCAAGUGCAUCAGCCUCACUGUUUUGCUCUCGUGGAACGUGCUAUAAAGUCCAUUAUUUAAAAUGGUGCAAAGUGACAUGUAGUUUGUCCAAAUACCUUUGCAUUCUAUCCUCUCUAACUUCGAAGGUUUUGUUUACUUGACUUACCACCAACAGAGAGUCACAUUUGGCUUCGAUGACUUCUGCUCCCAAGUUUUUUGCUAGCUCGAGACCUGCAAUCAUGGCCUCAUACUCGGCCUUGUUGUUAGUCAACUUGGAAGUUUUAAUAAAUUGCCUAAUGGUGCUACCUGUGGGUGGCUUUAAAACUAUGCCCAACCCAGACCCUUUACGUUCGAGGCCCCGUCCGUAAAAAGGGUCCAUACCCUCGAGGACGUACCCGAUUUCAGCAGGAAUUCUUUUUCGACUUCGGGUAUGAGGGUUGGCGUGAAAUCGGCCACGAAGUCUGCUAAAAUUUGAGACUUGAUCGCCGUACGAGGUUGAUAUUCGAUAUCAUACCCACUGAGUUCGACAACCCAUUUGGCCAAUCGGCCCGAUAGUUUGGGCUUUUGCAAAACAUUACGAAGUGGGUAAGUUGUUUAUACGCAUAUGGGGUGACAUUGAAAGUAUGGUCGUAACUUUCUAGAGGCGCUUAUCAGUGCAAGUGCCAAUUUUUCUAGGUGUGGAUAUCUAGCUUCUGCUUCUCCUAAGGUUCGACUUAUAUAAUAAAUGAGAAAUUGCGUACCUUGCUCUUCCCGAACUAGGACACCACUUACAACGAUUUCUGAUACUGCCAAGUAUAAGCAAAGUUUUUUGUCUGCUUUCGGAGUGUGAAGUAGUGGUGGGCUCGACGGAUAUUGUUUCAGUUCCUUCAAUUCCUAUUGGCAUUCUGGGGUCCAAGCGAAAUCGUUCUUCUUUUUGAGUAGGGAGAAAAAAUUGUGACUUCGAUCUGAUGAUCUCGAAAUGAAUCGGCCUAGGGCCGCAAUUCAUCCCGUUAGCCUUUGUACAACUUUUACGAUGUCCACGAUGGUGAUGUCUUCGAUGGCCUUGAUUUUAUCGGGGUUAAUCUCGAUUCCCCGAUUUGACACCAUGAAGCCGAGGAACUUGCCCGAACCGACCCCGAAAGCACAUUUUUCAGGGUUGAGCUUCAUGUUGUAUUUCCUCAAAAUCUCGAACGUUUCCUGCAAAUGGGUCAGAUGGUCCUCUGCGCGCAGUGACUUAACUAGCAUGUCAUCAAUAUAAACUUCCAUUGAUUUACCUAUUUGUUCUUCGAACAUUUUAUUUACUAGGCGUUGGUAAGUAGCCCCCGCAUUUUUUAGCCCGAAGGGCAUCACAUUAUAACAAUAUGUUUCAUAUUUGGUGACAAAUAAAGUCUUUUCCUGGUCCUCCGGGUUCAUCCGGAUUUGAUUAUACCCAGAAUAGGCAUCGAGAAAAGUGAGGAUCUCGUGACCGGCCAUGGCAUCGAUCAUGCGAUCGAUGUUGGGUAGUGAAAAAGAAUCUUUGGGGGAUGCUUUAUUUAAAUCCUUAUAGUCCACGCACAUUCUAAGUUUGUUUCCUUUUUUAGGCACUACAACUAUAUUGGCCAACCAUUCGGGAUAUUUCACCUCCCGAAUGGACCCUAUCUUGAGAAGUUUGGUUACCUCGUCUUUUACGAAUGCGUGUUUUACCUCGGACUGGGUCUUCUCUUUUGCUUUACCGGUCUGAACUUAGGGUCCAAGCUUAGCCGAUGCGUCAUUAUGUCCGGUGGAAUCUCUGUUAUAUCUAAAUGGGACCAGGCAAAACAAAUCAAUGUUAUCGAUAAGAAAUUGAACAAGUUUCUUCCUAAGUUCGGGGCUCAACCCCGUUCCCAGGUAUACCUUUCGUUCGGGCCAGUGCUCGAUUAGUGUGACUUGCUCCAAUUCCUCAAUUGUUGAUUUGGUGGCGUCGGAGUCAUCGGGAAUCACGAAUGAUCGAGGGACCCUCUGAUCAUCAUGUUCUUCGAUCAUCUGGUUAUCUGGUUGGGUCGAAGCCGAUAUCUGUGAUUGCUAUUUGGUGUCUCCUUCUGAGGCCGAUCCUUUUACUGAUGAAGGCGAGGAUAUUGGUUUGGCUUCCUCGACGACGAACAUUUCUUUUGCGGCUGGUUGUUCUCCGUACACUGUUUUGACUCCUCUCGAUGUUGGGAAUUUGAGGACCUGGUGUAGGGUCGAAGGUGCAGCUCUCAUGUUGUGGAUCCAUGGCCUUCCGAAAAGGGCGUUGUACCUCAUGUCGCCUUCGAUCACGUGAAACUUCAUUUCCUGGAUGGUUCCGGCCACGUUUAUUGGUAGAAUUAUCUCACUUUUGGUGGUUUUACAUGCCAUAUUGAAUCCGUUUAGAACCAGGGCUGCGAGUACGAUCUGAUCCCGCAGGCCGAGCUGCUCUACGACCUUCAAUCUGAUGAUGUUGGCCGAGCUACCUGGAUCAAUCAACACACGCUUAACUUUAGUUUUAUUCAUGAGUACAGAUAUUACCAGUGCAUCGUUAUGAGGUUGUACGACCCCUUCUGCAUCUUCAUCAUUUAAGGACAAAGUUCCUAUGGGUGUGUAAUCCUGAGUUCGAGAUCGCUUUUCUUUCACAAUUGAUGUUUUAGUGCAUUUAAGCACUGGUCCCUGAGGGGUAUCAGCACCGCCGAUGAUCAUGUGAAUGACGUGCUGCGACUUUUCCUGCUCGUUUUGCUUGUCGAAAUCCUUGUUUUUUUAAAAUGGUUCCUCGCCCUAUCGCUCAAAAAUUCCCGAAGGUGGCCUUUGUUAAAUAAUCGGGCUACCUUCCUCUCUUAGUUGCCUGCAAUCUUCUGUUCUGUGGCCAUGGGUGCCAUGAUAUUCGCACAUUUGAUUGGGAUUCCUUUAGGCAGGAUCGGACUGCAUUGGUCGAGGCCAUCUAGUGUCUUUGAUGCAUCCGAUAGUAGACACGAUGGCGGAUGCAUCAACGCUGAAGUUAUAUUCCGACAACCGGGGUGCUUCUCUAGGAUCGGCAUAUUUAUCAAAGCCGCUCUUGCUCAUAAGUCCCCGAGAAUUUUGCCCUCGAUCAAUUGUUCGAUUGUUCCGAGCGGUGUUGCGUGUCGAACCGUUGUUCAUCCGAUCUGCGACGUACGGUUGAUAUUGGUCUCUGUUCGACCUUUGUUCUCUGUCGAUCUCCCUUUGGUUUUUAGAAGUUGUCCUGUUCUGAUGCAUGGAUCCAGACGGAGCUCCCAACUGGUCAUCUUCGACCCUAAUUUUUGACUGAUAUCGGUUGUGUAUAUCUGCCCAAGUUAUUGCUGGAUACUCGAUCAAAUUUUGCUUCAGCCGACGCGAUGCUAUCGAACUUUGCUCGUUCAACCCUUGGGUGAAAGCUUGGACGGCCCAAUCGUCUGUGACCGGUGGCAAUUCCAUGCGUUCCAUUUGAAAUCGGGAUACGAAUUCCCUCAGCAUUUCAUUACCCCUUUGCUUUACUUUGAAGAGGUCUGAUUUCCUUGUUGCAACCUUUAUGGCACCAGCAUGUGCCUUUAUGAACGAAUCUACUAACAUGGCAAAAGAAUCGAUGGAAUUUGGCGGCAGAUUGUGAUACCAAAUCAUCGCUCCCUUCGAGAGGGUCUCCCCGAACCUUUUCAAUAACACGGAUUCGAUCUCAUCGUCCUCCAAAUCGUUACCCUUGAUGGCACAUGUGUAAGAGGUGACGUGUUCGUUAGGAUCGGUCGUACCGUUAUAUUUGGGAAUUUUGGGUAUACGGAAUUUUUUGGGGAUUGGUUUUGGGGCCGCACUCGAGGGAAAAGGCUUUUGUAUGAUUUUUUUCGAAUCCAGCCCUUUUAUCAUUGGCGGAGCUCCCGGGAUCUGAUCGACCCUGGCAUUGUAUAUUUCCACUCUCUUGUCGUUGGCUUCGACUCGUUUUGUGAGUUCCUCGAGCAAUUUAGUAAUUUCAGGAGUGGUCCCCGAUUCUUGCUCGUUUGAUUUCACUAUGGCAGGCUCCGUUCUGGGGGUGAUUUCUCGAAGCGGAUUGAAAUCUGGCCUGCUUUAUAUAUGAGUUUGGCUCUGCAACUGAGCUAUCGCUACUUGUUGGGCUUGUAACAUCUCGAAGAUCAUGCGCAAGCUGACUCCGAUUUCUCCCACGUUAUGGGUGUCUCGAGCUACGGAUCGAGUAUCACCUUGAAUGCUUUUUUCCGGUUCAGAACGUUAGUUCGCCUCAAGAGCCACUUGCGAAUUGACAUCUAACGGUACUUCGGCUCGAAUUUCGGGUACUUCGAUUCGAGCCUCAGUGCCAUCGUCAAGUGGCCUUCCGGCCCCGGGUACCAAGUUGUUGGUUUCAUCUUGAAGGCCGGCUUCGUGGUCGAUAGGUAAAGCCAUUGCUGAUUCGAAGUUGUAAACGGGUGUAUACUGCAUAUUUAUAUCAAACAAUCACUGUUAUCCUUAGCCCCACGGUGGGCGCCAAACUGUUUACCCGAAAAAUCAGAUAACGUUAAAUUUGUGUAUGGUUCUAAGGAUAUGUGAUACAAAUUGUAUAGAGAAAUAGAAAUAUGUGUAUUCUUGACUAUGAGAAUGGGAAUAGUGAGCGAAAGAAUGAAUAAGGUAAAAUAAAAAAAGCAUGAGGAGAUAUCUUCCAAUAUGAGAAGUGAUCUUUUGUUACAGUCUAUUCUCUGUGUUCGUAUGCUUACAAGGAUUCCCCCUUUUAUAAUAGAGGGAUCCUACUUUAUUUACAAUAAAAUAAAGCAUAUAGUGGAGGACCCAUGAUGAAUUAUCUCUUCCUCGAUUCCCGCCAAGAUUCUCUCUCUUAGUGCGGUUGUAACGGCUUUUGUCUGUGAGCUCGACACCGGCGAACUCGUUAUUGGGUUGAGCCCUCGGUUUUGGCUUGAGUUCGACCUCCGGGGUAGGCGUAACGCAUUUCUGAUCUCGAAGCAAUGCCUUGCGGAUCGAUUUGGUCACGGGCUCGAUAAAAGUAUCGAGCCGAUUUCUCGAUCAGCCUCCGGACUCGAGGCACGUUUGUACUGCCUUCGGAACUCAUCCCAAAAUUCCACUCCGGUUGCUUACCAUUCGAACUCGAUCGAACGUAGGAAGACCGAAAUCUAUUUUGACCGUAUACAUUGUUCAAACUGAAGGAAAACGACAUUGCUUGAUGAUAUUUUUUUGAUAUUUAUAUGUCAAAAUAAUAUUAUACUUGAAUAUUUUAAAAUUCAUUUAUAUUCCUCCUUACUUAAGUUUAAAAUGUAAAGUUGGCUUUAACAUUGGAAAAACAAUUAUAUAAAUGAAUCACAAUUAUUUUUAUAGUUCAUCUACGUUACCCUUGCCUGUACAUCAUUGUUUCAAGACCCUUCCAUAGAUCCCAUAACAACAAGCUCAUUUAUCAUAGCUAAACAAAUCUGACGUCACACCAUUUCUGGAGGUGACACUUAUAUAACUACUCGACACAUUAUGUUGCAAAGUCAUGAUAAUUUGCAACCUCUCUCACGGGCCAUAAAAGAUAAUGGAUGUUGCACUGACAAUACUUAGUUUGGAAAGAAGACAUUGAGGUGAUUAGCAUCCUCAAAAUGAUAGUCAUCUAAUAAAUGGUAAAAGAGGGUCUCCAUCAAACAUGAUUUAUGGUUUUAGAGUAAGUUAAGACACAAUUACUGCUUGCCAAAUAUAUCAAUCUUGCGCAUUACGGCAUUAGUAAAAAAUGAUGGUAUGAGGUAAGGAGAGAGAACACUCAAGCGCCAUUAUGAUAUGUGAAUUGCUUAUAUUGAGGUUCUCAAAGACCAUUCUAACCCAAGAAGGAUGUGUUGUUGUUUCAUUGUAUGUUGGAAUAAUAGAAGUUCACCGUUUUCUUUCUAUAAGUGAUAAUUUUGGUAGCAAGAAUGAGCAUGAAUUAAGUGAAGAAAAUAGUUUGAGGGUAGGAGAAAAGAAAAUGAAGUCUAGCGUUACUUAUGUGGAUGGAUAAAAAACUGAAGAGUCAUCUGUUAAUUACUCAUAGCCUUUCUGAGAUUCCUGGUUCUUGUCGUCCUCUCGAUAAAAUUGUUUCCACCUUCCAUAUUUGUUUAAUUUUGAUUUUUAGAGCUUUGUAGGUGGCUUAGACUACUGUUGUACUAACAGAUACUAUAUGGUGCAGAGAUAUAAAGAUCUAUUUGAUUGACUAUCCAAACAACUUGCUAUGAAUGACAAGAAUUACGCGAUGUAGUUCAUCAGAACUUGUUGACUCUAAUAUGAUCAUAUAUAUUGAUAGCUAAUGCACUAAUCUUUUAACGUUUGACAUUUAUUCUCUGGCAUCUCUGCCUUAUUUAUUAACGGACAUAAUUGUCCAUAGCAUGUGCGACAAUAAUAUCAUUCUCUAUUUAGAAAAAGGUAGCAGAAGUUUGAAAGCAGUUGAAGCAUGGUUUGAAGAAUCCUGAGAUUUUGUAGAUUGGAGGUGAUAUAUGAGCUUUAAAUAGUUCUUGAGCUACUUUUUAACAUAAAAUUGUUAUAAGUAUUGGGCAUUUAAUGUUUGAGUAGCUAUACCAAGUGUACUACUUAAUCAAUUUCAAGAAAAGGCAAAAUAAGAUGAAUACCAGAGACCUAAGAAGUGUGAUGACAAUUUCGAUACAAAGUAGGAGUCAGUUAUUGUGUAAUUCAUUUCUUAAGGAAAAGAAACAGGAAAGUGUUUUUUUUUUUUGAAAUCUGAUGCUUUUUGCUUCUUAUCAUUUUCAUCUGAAGGCGUAGCAUGUCUUGAAUAUCUAUUUAGAAGCCUAGCUUUCAUUUCAAACUAAAGAAUGUGAAAAAUAAAUUGAUGUAAGACGUACACGAUGAUCUUGCCACAUUUAAUAUCUUCUGCUUUUUGUGUAUUAAUUUGAAAGAGAUGCAGAUUGAGAUAACAAAUGAGCUUUUAAUUCGUGAAAUGUUUCUUGAAGCUUCUCUGUUUGUGUUCCAAUUACAAUAUAAUCCCUAAUCGAGCUGUCUUUAGUUUUACAUUUGUUUUGUCUAAUCUUUAUAAUUAAAAGUUGCAUAUGAGAAGGCACCUUACUGCUACUAUCCCAGGAAAGCAUCAUCCCCUCCUCUUUUUGUUAGUUUCACAAACUUUAUUUCAUAUUCUCCAUUUUCCAAUUCUAAAUUUUUGACUACCCUGUUGUCUCCCUUAAGUAAAAAGGGGAGGGCAAUUGGGAUUGGUAGGUUACUUAUCUCCAAAGUUCAUUUUUCUUAAGUCGGGUAUUUGCCCAGAAGUCAAGUUGAUAUGUCUUAUCAUAGCUACUUGAUGGUUGAGAGGAUAGAAAUAUAAUAUACCUGUCCAGUAUGACGAGUUUGUAUUAUUGGGUCAUUAUUGGAUGUAUUUAACUAUUCAUUUUGAAGGGAAAUAUUUGUGCUAUGUUUUAUAUUCCAGCUGAUUAUGUGCAGUCGAGUCUAAUGGCUUUUGAUGAAGCAUCAUUUUUAAUUCACUAGAUUUAUUGUAAAUGUUGUAGAUAGUUUUUCGUUUGAAUUUUUUUGUUAUUUUAUGAGUAACUGGUUAUAUUAAGGUUUAUGCCACCUUUUAGGACCUUGUAAAUGAUCUUUCCUCUAUCUUUUACAACACAUAAUGUAUUGUACUUAUGGUGUUUACUUACCUUCUGAAGGUACUGCAAAACUUCUCCCACUCUGCUGCUUUGGAAUAGCAAAGCUCACUACCAAACUGGGGACUAAGCUGAAUAGCUGAUACUCAUGAUAAAUGAAUUAAGGCAUGCAUGUAAACAUGCCUUGAAGAUGCAAACAUUUCCUAUAUUUUAUGGGUAUUAGCACGAGAGAUAUACAAUGUAUUAAUGUCAUCUUUUAUGCUUAUUGAAUGACCUAUAUUAUGCACAUAGAACUAUUUUAGUUUGGUUAUCUUCUUUUAUGUCAAUUUGGAUCAGUUUUUAAUAUCAUGAUAUUGUAAUGCACUUAACGCUGAAAUAAUGAAGAUCUAUGUUAUUCAAAGGCUUACUUCUUUCCUUGAUUCUAA